rnacentral:rRNA from 1 species
AAAUUGAAGAGUUUGAUCAUGGCUCAGAUUGAACGCUGGCGGCAGGCCUAACACAUGCAAGUCGAACGGUAACAGGAAACAGCUUGCUGUUUCGCUGACGAGUGGCGGACGGGUGAGUAAUGUCUGGGAAACUGCCUGAUGGAGGGGGAUAACUACUGGAAACGGUAGCUAAUACCGCAUAACGUCGCAAGACCAAAGAGGGGGACCUUCGGGCCUCUUGCCAUCGGAUGUGCCCAGAUGGGAUUAGCUAGUAGGUGGGGUAACGGCUCACCUAGGCGACGAUCCCUAGCUGGUCUGAGAGGAUGACCAGCCACACUGGAACUGAGACACGGUCCAGACUCCUACGGGAGGCAGCAGUUGGGAAUAUUGCACAAUGGGCGCAAGCCUGAUGCAGCCAUGCCGCGUGUAUGAAGAAGGCCUUC